rnacentral:rRNA from 1 species
UACGUAGGGUGCGAGCGUUAAUCGGAAUUACUGGGCGUAAAGCGUGCGCAGGCGGUCUGUUAAGAUCGAUGUGAAAUCCCCGGGCUUAACCUGGGAACUGCAUUGGUGACUGGCAGGCUUUGAGUGUGGCAGAGGGGGGUGGAAUUCCGACGUGUAGCAGUGAAAUGCGUAGAGAGUGUGGAGGAACACCGAUGGCGAAGGCAGCCCCCUGGGUUAACACUGACGCUCAGGCACGAAAGCGUGGGGAGCAAACAGG